ACUUCAAAACCAUGAUGAGAACUACCUUUGGCUUCAGACAUGAGAAACCCCGCCCCCAGCCCCCACCUCAAGGAGCUGCACCGUUGCCCCGGGUCAGUCCAUUGCCUGUGUGGUGGCAGCUUCCCAGGAAGGAAGAAGCGUUGUCUGCAGAUCGCCUAUCGGUCGGCUUUCCUGUGUCGGAGCGGUGGUUUUCCGGGGAUGGCUGCCACCCCCGUGAUUCCCAGCUGCCUGGAAACUUGGACCCUGCUCCCACAGAGAUCUAGUGCUUUCCAUAACAUGAUGCGCAGCUGUUACCUCUUCUCUACUCUGAACUGCCUGGCUUCCAGAUGUGCAGACCAAAGCGAGAGAUUUGACAUGGACUCGUCCUAGACCAGUGGUUCUCAGCUGUUCUUAUGAGCAAUCCUUUAACACAGUCCCUCCUGUUGUAGUAACCCUCAACCAUAAAAUAAUU
rnacentral:lncRNA from 1 species